UACGGAGGGGGCUAGCGUUGUUCGGAAUUACUGGGCGUAAAGCGCGCGUAGGCGGACUGUUAAGUCGGGGGUGAAAUCCCGGGGCUCAACCCCGGAACUGCCUUCGAUACUGGCGGUCUAGAGGUCUGGUGAGGUGAGUGGAAUUCCGAGUGUAGAGGUGAAAUUCGUAGAUAUUCGGAGGAACACCAGUGGCGAAGGCGGCUCACUGGCCAGAUUCUGGCGGUGAGGUGCGAAAGCGUGGGGAGCAAACAGG
rnacentral:rRNA from 1 species